GGCGAAAAGAACAAAGUUUUGUCCAUCUUUGUUCAUCAUAGCCUAAAGUUAGAGAAGAGAAAGGAGAGGAGAAAGCUCUUGAAUGUUCGGUCACUUGGGGAAGAAAAUUGAAGGAAAUCCCCAACCAUAGUGGGCUUGGAGCUGUGAGGGAAUUCGGAGUGGCCACCCGUUCUGAAAGUUUGAUUUUCUUCUAGUGAACUGGACAUCCUUUUAUUUACGUUUGAAGUUUUGGGUUUUUAAAUGUAAUAAGGCCACUUAAUUA